AUACGGAAGGUCCGGGCGUUAUCCGGAUUUAUUGGGUUUAAAGGGAGCGCAGGCGGAGAUGCAAGCGUGACGUCAAAUUUCGGGGCUCAACCCCGUCUCGCGUCGCGAACUGCGUCCCUUGGUUGCGGGAAGGGGAGGCGGAACUCGUGGUGUAGCGGUGAAAUGCAUAGAUAUCACGAAGAACUCCGAUCGCGAAGGCAGCCUUCCGGCCCGUCAACGACGCUCAUGCUCGAAGGUGCGGGUAUUAAACAGGAUUAGAUACCCUGGUAGUCCGCACAGUAAACGAUGGACACCCGCGGUUUGGCCUGUAUGGCUGAGCCGCCAAGCGAAAGCGUUAAGUGUCCCACCUGGGGAGUACGCCGGCAACGGUGAAACUCAAAGGAAUUGACGGG
rnacentral:rRNA from 1 species